ACUGCUCAGUAACACGUGGACAACCUGCCCUUAGGUUGGGUAUAAACCCGGGAAACUGGGUAUAAUACCCGAUAGGUCUCGAUUGCUGGAAUGCAUCGAGAUUUAAAGCUCCGGCGCCUAAGGAUGGGUCUGCGGCCUAUCAGGUAGUAGUGGGUGUAGCGUACCUACUAGCCUACGACGGGUACGGGUUGUGAGAGCAAGAGCCCGGAGAUGGAUUCUGAGACACGAAUCCAGGCCCUACGGGGUGCAGCAGGCGCGAAGACUUUACAAUGCUGGCAACAGCGAUAAGGGAACCUCGAGCGCCAGGUUACAAAUCUGGCUGUCGAGAUGCCUAAAAAGCAUUUCAUAGCAAGGGCCGGGCAAGACCGGUGCCAGCCGCCGCGGUAACACCGGCGGCUCGAGUGGUAACCGUUAUUAUUGGGUCUAAAGGGUCUGUAGCCGGCCGGAUAAGUCUCUUGAGAAAUCUGGCAGCUUAACUGUCAGGCUUUCAGGAGAUACUGUCUGGCUCGAGGCCGGGAGAGGUGAGAGGUACUUCAGGGGUAGGGGUGAAAUCUUGUAAUCCUUGAAGGACCACCAGUGGCGAAGGCGUCUCACCAGAACGGACCUGACGGCAAGGGACGAAAGCUAGGGGCACGAACCGGAUUAGAUACCCGGGUAGUCCUAGCCGUAAACGAUACUCGCUAGGUGUCGGCCACGGUGCGACCGUUGUCGGUGCCGUAGGGAAGCCGUGAAGCGAGCCACCUGGGAAGUACGGCCGCACGGCUGAAACUUAAAGGAAUUGGCGGGGGAGCAC
rnacentral:rRNA from 1 species